rnacentral:lncRNA from 1 species
CCUGUCCAUUUUAUUCUUUACUCGCAAUUCGAUUUGUGCUGUUGUUUAUUUCUACACAUGAUUAAUUGAACUUUAAAAUUGCUCGAAUGUCUGUUCAUCUAGAGUUGUGGCUGUUGAGAUUUUGAUUUCUUUUUUUUUGACGGAAAAACUUUACUCAUUCAGAAACUGGAAGAUUCUUACAAUCAGCUUACCAUACAUGCGUGGCGUCAGCCGGUAGCGAGCCCAACAUGACAUUCUGAGCCAGACCUUCUCUACUAAUCUUUGCUAGAGUGUGGGCAACCGAGUUCGCAUUCCUGUGUUCUUUCACGAU